rnacentral:rRNA from 1 species
AACGAACGCUGGCGGCAUGCCUAACACAUGCAAGUCGAACGCCAUGGUUUCGGCCAUGGAGUGGCGCACGGGUGAGUAACGCGUGGGAACCUGCCCAGCAGGAUGGGGCAACCGCGGGAAACUGCGGCUAAUACCGUAUACGCCCGUCUUUGGGAGACCAGGGGCGGGGAAAGAGUGAUCGCUGUUGGAGGGGCCCGCGUCGGAUUAGGUAGUUGGUGGGGUAAAGGCCGACCAAGCCUGCGAUCCGUAGCUGGUCUGAGAGGAUGAUCAGCCACACUGGGACUGAGACACGGCCCAGACGCCUACGGGAGGCAGCAGUGGGGAAUAUUGGACAAUGGGCGCAAGCCUGAUCCAGCAAUGCCGCGUGAGUGAUGAAGGCCUUAGGGUUGUAAAGCUCUUUCACACGCGACGAUGAUGACGGUAGCGUGAGAAGAAGCCCCGGCUAACUCCGUGCCAGCCGCCGCAGUAAUAC